rnacentral:ncRNA from 1 species
UUAUCAAGGGGUGCCGUCCUAUUGACGGCUGAGAUGAUACCCUCUUAACCUGAUGCGGGUCAUACCGACGUAGGGAUGAUA